rnacentral:rRNA from 1 species
GGAAUUACUGGGCGUAAAGCGUGCGCAGGCGGUUGUGCAAGACCGAUGUGAAAUCCCCGAGCUUAACUUGGGAAUUGCAUUGGUGACUGCACGGCUAGAGUGUGUCAGAGGGGGGUAGAAUUCCACGUGUAGCAGUGAAAUGCGUAGAGAUGUGGAGGAAUACCGAUGGCGAAGGCAGCCCCCUGGGAUAACACUGACGCUCAUGCACGAAAGCGUGGGGAGCAAACAGGAUUAGAUACCCUGGUAGUCCACGCCCUAAACGAUGUCAACUAGUUGUUGGGGAUUCAUUUCCUUAGUAACGUAGCUAACGCGUGAAGUUGACCGCCUGGGGAGUACGGUCGCAAGAUUAAAACUCAAAGGAAUUGACGGGGACCCGCACAAGCGGUGGAUGAUGUGGAUUAAUUCGAUGCAACGCGAAAAACCUUACCUACCCUUGACAUGCCACUAACGAAGCAGAGAUGCAUUAGGUGCUCGAAAGAGAAAGUGGACACAGGUGCUGCAUGGUUGUCGUCAGCUCGUGUCGUGAGAUGUUGGGUUAAGUCCCGCAACGAGCGCAACCCUUGUCUCUAGUUGCUACGAAAGGGCACUCUAGAGAGACUGCCGGUGACAAACCGGAGGAAGGUGGGGAUGACGUCAAGUCCUCAUGGCCCUUAUGGGUAGGGCUUCACACGUCAUACAAUGGUGCAUACAGAGGGUUGCCAAGCCGCGAGGUGGAGCUAAUCCCAGAAAAUGCAUCGUAGUCCGGAUCGUAGUCUGCAAC